AGCGAACGCUGGCGGCAGGCUUAACACAUGCAAGUCGAGCGGACGUAGCAAUACGUCAGCGGCAGACGGGUGAGUAACGCGUGGGAACGUACCUUUUGGUUCGGAACGGCACAGGGAAACUUGUGCUAAUACCGAAUAAGCCCUUACGGGGAAAGAUUUAUCGCCGAAAGAUCGGCCCGCGUCUGAUUAGCUAGUUGGUGGGGUAACGGCCCACCAAGGCGACGAUCAGUAGCUGGUCUGAGAGGAUGAUCAGCCACAUUGGGACUGAGACACGGCCCAAACUCCUACGGGAGGCAGCAGUGGGGAAUAUUGGACAAUGGGCGCAAGCCUGAUCCAGCCAUGCCGCGUGAGUGAUGAAGGCCCUAGGGUUGUAAAGCUCUUUUGUGCGGGAAGAUAAUGACGGUACCGCAAGAAUAAGCCCCGGCAAACUUCGUGCCAGCCGCCGCGGUAACAC
rnacentral:rRNA from 1 species